GCACAUCAUCUGUGAGGACAUGAGGUGAGGACUCCACUGUGAGCAGACCAGGAACAGCCCCUUCCCAUGAUGAGGUUUCCUCAGUUACCAGAGCAUCUCAUUUUGUAACUGUUUAGAAUGCCGAGUGAGCCACACAUGUUCUUGCUGGAGGAGGGAGAAACCCAGAAUGAGAAUUUCAGCACAGGAAGAACAGAUCGCUUCUCUUCCCCACUUGUACAUUUGCUCCCCCACCAGAGUGGUUUCCGGCAGCUCUGGUAUCUUGGGGCUGCGAGGUGCUUUUGUCAGUCUCUCACCCAACAAACAAGCAGGCUGUUCUCAGCAUGCACCUUGGGUAUCUGGUCCUCACUGCCUUCCUGGGGCAACUGCUGGUGGCCAGAGGCAGAGCCCAGGUGCAGCAGGACCUGUCGGCAGAGACCACCGAGGGCACCGGCAUCAGCAUCAACUGCUCACACCCCAACAUACAGUCAAACGAGUUCAUCGUCUGGUACAGUCAGCUCCGGGGCCGAGGCCCCGCAUUCCUCACACUCGCUCACAAAGGAAUGAAAGUGCUGUCGGACCCGCCGGGUUGGCUGUCGGUGGCGGCAGACCGCCGGUCCAGCGCCCUGUGGCUCGAACGGCCCCGGCGCGGGGACGCGGCGGUGUAUUACUGCGCCGUGGGAGACACGGGGAGAGGAGCCGGGGCUGCGGCCGGACACGAACCGCCGCGGGCGGGGCCGGGCGGGUGUGGCGGGGGCGGGGAGACAGUCCAAGCCGGGACCGCCAGGGAGCGCUGCCGCUCCGCCCGCCGGGGCCACCUCGCCACACAAAAAUCACAGAAUGGUCGGAGUUGGAAGGGACCUCUGGAGAUCAUCUAGUGCAACCCACCUGCUAAAGCAGGUUCACCAGAGCAGAUCACACAGGAAUGCAUCCAGGUGGGUCUUGAAUGGCUCUGGAGAAGGAGACUCCACAACCUCUCUGGGCAGUCUGUUCCUGGGCUCUGUCACCAUCAAAGUAAAGAAGUUUCUCCUCAUAUUCAGAUGGAAUCUCCUGUGCUUCAGCCUGUGCUCGUUGCCCCUCAUCCUGUCUCUGGGCACCUCUGAAAAGAGCCUGGUUUCAUCCUCUUGACAUGCAUGCAUGAGAUAAUCAUAAACACUGAUGAGAUUCCCUCUCAACCUUCUCCUCUCCAGGCUGAAUAGACACAGCUCCCUCAGUUUCUCUUCAUAAGAAAGGUGCUCUAGGCCCCUAAUCAUCUUCAUAGAUGGACUUUCUGGACUUCCUCCAGUAAUUCCUUAUCCCUCUUCAAAUGGGG